GGAGCUUUCCCCGGGCGUC
rnacentral:snRNA from 1 species